UCACGACCCCUUCCAAGUGAAGACCUUCCGUCGCCCACCGCCGCCGCCUCCUACCGCACACACCUCGCCGGCGAUGGCCAUCGGCUCCGUUGGAUUCCCAACGUUCCCUGUAUCCACCAUGCACCCGCUGUCCGCGUCUGCGUAGGCCCUAGCUCUGGUUCAAUUUCAGCAUCCAGAUCCGACGCCAUGGAGGACGACGCCACCUCUGUCCAUCACCCAACCACCACAUCGGAUAGAGGGUGAGGAGUUCGAGGACGAGGCGACGAGGAUUUGCGCCGGCGACCUAGGCCACGAGGACCGCGACCCCCCCACUUCUACCAUCCUCCCAGCAGUAGGUCGCAACAAUGCUCCUCACGGCACGGCCAACCAGCCCAUCGAUGUUGUCUCGAACAUCCGCUGGUACGCUGUGCCCCUAUCCGUCCGCAUCGCCACCGACGAGGAGGAUUGUUGCGACCUGAGCCUAAUCCACCUGGUUCGGCCGUCAAUCUCUACUUCCUGUUGGUCCUCCUCCUCCCCCGCCUGUUGCACCCUGUGGGACCCGAUGUGGAUGAUGUCCGCCACCAUGUCAUGCUCGGCUGCCUCAGUCGGAGACUAAGAAAGCUACGGUGGCCCUCCACUUUUCCUCCGGCAACCAUGCACUGUGAUGAUGUUCUGUUCCACCUCGCCUCCCCUGCCAUGUGGACUGCCUCCUUGAUUCCCAGGUACUGCCCCAUCUGCUCUCUUUCCAUAGUUAUGUGGUAAUAUGUUUGUAGUUUAGUUGAUGAUUGAUGCGCAUAGAAGGGUAAGAGGAGUCAAGGAGAAAAUGAAGUCAUUGCAUAGAGCUUCAUAACGAUUUCCAACUGGUCUGUUGCAUCUUCUCUGCAGUUUCCGAUGUUUCAUGUCUGAAUAGCCUAUGAUUUCUAUAGCUGUUUAUUGCUGAUUUCUUUACUGAUUUAAGCUAACAAUUCUCAUGAUAUUUGUGAUUCAGCAGGACCUAUCUUUUCCACAUACUUUCUAUGUUUCAUGAGAUUUGGCGAUUCAGUUAUAAGCCUGGUACUUUGAAAAAUGCACAGAACAGCCAUGGUGAUGUGCCAUUUUGGUUUAUUGAGAAUUUCAUGCAGUGGAUGGCAUGUCACCACGUUCUUCUCUCCUGGACCCUUUGUCCUUGGGCUGCAAGCUCCUGCGACACGGAUGUCGCCUUCAGGCUUCACAGGAAGCACAACAAAAGGAAAGAUGGUUUUUAGAAAAACAGGGGGGCCAAAUUUCCCCCAGCCCCAUUUUAUUGGAAAUGAAGCCAGGGUAAAACAGUGUACCAUGCGAGUAAGUUCAGAAUGUAAACUCCUAGCUAAUUAACUACACUACUUAUUACAACUUCUACCCAGGAUUACCCAACAUUCCAGAUGGUUUCGAUUUGAUUAUUUCAUCAACCACUUAAACAAGAUGUGUGGAGAUGUCACCAAGGUCAUCUUCUCUGCACACCCUGAGCAGCACCAACACGUCAAGUAUGCCUAGACAAAGGGCAGUCGCACUGGUUGGGUGCAGAUUUUACAAGUGUCUGGGAUUCUUGCUCUUCUCACAGGUUGUACGCCAUGCAGCUUGUGGAAUAGUGUCAAGUCUCAUAGUAGUGCUACUCCAUAUAUGAAAACUUCAGUCUCCUAAUCGCACAUACCAUGCUGUCCGAUGCGUUUCCAAGCCUGCGAUGCAGCAGUGCAAGCAACAAGCAUGGUCUCUGUGAGUUUUCUAUAGAAGGUUUCUGGAUUUUCUUAUUGGGCAAGAUUCUAUGAACAUCUAUAUACCAACUGUUAAUAAGUCUUAAUGUUACCACCCCCUUGAUUUGCACUCGUUUGUGACAUUUGUUCGCUUAAUUGAUGUACAGGGCAUUGAGUUGGAGCACACUGAUGCUGCACUUAAAUGUUCUAUGCACUCAGUCAACUAUGCAACUUUCCUUUUUAUAAAGUUGGUGGACUGAGUGAAGCAACAGAUAGGCACAAGAAGAAGAGGUGCAAUACCUUUCAUUUGAUAGUGGUUUAACUUUUUUCCUCGUGAGGCAUGGGAACUUAGAACCUCUAAAUUAAAUGUGGUCGUUUAUGCUUUUGCAACACCUCUCUAAUUUCCUAUCAUGCUAAAAAAAUGCUAUCUGCCAAAACAGUUAAUAUUCUUCCUGAAGGCAAUCUAAUACGAAAGCUGAUACACAUUGGAAGUAGUAGUCUGAAGGAAUCAAAAGUUACUAUUGGGCAAGAAAAGGUAGCCAGCGAUUUACAAAGGUUCUUGGCAUGCCUGAAAUUUAUGCGGCUACCAAAAGUAUAAAGAACAAUAUAAGCUGCUAGGAAUUAGUGGCGGCAAUUUUUCUCCUUUUAUAGAUGGUGUGUCUUGUUCUUCGUUUCUAGGUUCCUAGGAUGUUAUAUGAGCUAUUUUGUCCCUUGUAGCAUGUCUCCCUCAAAGCCGCUGCUCCCUGAAUUGAUGAGAAUUUUUAAACCAUCAUGUUGCACGCAAUCAUAUUGUUACUUUAAUCUAUCAGUGUUCCAUGGAAAUCAAAAUCAGCAGUCUUAUGUACAGGAGAAGGAACCUAUCACCCUAGGCAAGCUGGGUAAAAUAUAAUCUUCUUGUGCUAUUCUCUGUGUUGUUUCCAAUGAUAAUGGUUCAGCUUGACAAACUAUAUUUGUUACUAGAAAUGAUUAUUACCUACAACAUUGGUCUGCAUUAGCUGAAAUUUAUUCGUGCCAGUGAAAGGGUGAUUUUUUUUGGUUGACUUAGCUUUUGUGAACUCCUUUUUAUUUCUUACAUUUCUAGGUGAAUAUGAUGGAAAUGCUUUAGAGAUAGGUAGCCAAUGCAAACUGGAGUAUGAUGGCGCCUAGCUAGAACACCCAAGCACAUUUCAUCAACAUCAGUGUACGUUUGAUGAACUUAUAUGCUCAAGACCAUAUAAGCAUAUCCAUAUGAGACUGAGUCUGAACUCACAGAAGCUUAGCAACUCUCCUUCUAUGCUUAGCAAGUCGCAUAUUAUUACAUUGAAGCGGGUACUACCUUCUGUUGCUCUGGGUUUUUUAAAAUAUUUGCAAUGAUACUUCCCUCUUUUAUGAUUCAUUCAUCCAUUUUGAUCCAGUGAUUAGGUUUUAAGUUGCGUGAUGUGGUUGAUGUGGAUGCAGGAUUAAAUGAAACUCUCAGGUUGCCAAAAAAAAAAGAGAAGGUUCUCCUCCAUGUUUGAGAGAUUGACCAUGAUGGCAUCAUCCAUAAGGCGCCAGACUGCAACUUUUUCUUGCCUGAGAAAAUGCAGAGCCGCUGAUGUAAAAUCCAGGGAUGGUGUUGGUGCAUGCCGAGGACGCUGGUGUCGCCUUUGUUUUUCUGGCAUAUGCUUGUGUCAAUGUGAAUAAUCUCUUAUUUCUUUUCUUCAAUAUUUAUAAUAUGAUAUAAUCAUUUUAGGGUAUAAGAGGCAGACCUUGCUCGGACUUGGUAGAGCAAACAUCUUCUAAAUAUACACGUAGAUCUUUUCUCCAAGUGAUGUACAGUUUUAUUAUGAUUUUCCUUAAACAAAUUAUAGUAAUAAUAUGGGGUACUCCCUUUUAAUUCA